AUUGAACGCUGGCGGCAGGCCUAACACAUGCAAGUCGAGCGGAUGAGAGGAGCUUGCUUCUCGAUUCAGCGGCGGACGGGUGAGUAAUACCUAGGAAUCUGCCUGGUAGUGGGGGACAACGUUUCGAAAGGAACGCUAAUACCGCAUACGUCCUACGGGAGAAAGCAGGGGACCUUCGGGCCUUGCGCUAUCAGAUGAGCCUAGGUCGGAUUAGCUAGUUGGUGAGGUAAUGGCUCACCAAGGCGACGAUCCGUCACUGGUCUGAGAGGAUGAUCAGUCAGACUGGAACUGAGACACCGUCCAGACUCCUACGGGAGGCAGCAGUGAGGAAUAUUGGAGAAUGGGCGAAAGCCUGAUCCAGCCAUGCCGCGUGUGUGAAGAAGGUCUUCGGAUUGUAAAGCACUUUAAGUUGGGAGGAAGGGUUGUAGAUUAAUACUCUGCAAUUUUGACGUUACCGACAGAAUAAGCACCGGCUAACUCUGUGCCAGCCGCCGCCGUAAAAC
rnacentral:rRNA from 1 species